AUGAAUCAGAAAGCAAAAUAGGGAUCGGAUUUGAGACUAAGGACCACCGCUGUUGACUAUAAUUAAAAGCCCAAAGCUCGUUGAGUAUCAACCCUUUAUUAUCACGACCACCAUAAAUGUAAACCGUGUCAUCUAUUGUAGUAGCUUGAUGACCUUCCCGCGGACCUGGAAAUCUUCCUAUAGAACGAACCUCGGUCCAUGAAAGUGUUUCUAAAUCAAAAAGCCAAAGAUCACUUAAUGGACCAGUAUCAUUAUGCCCUCCAUGUACAAAUAUUUUUCCUUGGACAAGAGUAACUGAGUGAUUUGAACGAGGUGGAGGGGAUGAGCUAUGCAAAAACGGUGUUUCCCAUGACCAAUCAGUCUCAUCAAAUUCCAUAUUAGCCUUUUCAACAUUAUUUGCAUUUGCCUUUUGCUUGAGUUCUGAUUGCGUCCUCCGAUCAACCCCUUUGGUAUCAAACAAAUGUAUAUCAUUCAAAUAUUUUCCUUGACAUUCACCCCCAAAUAUCCAUAAUUUAGAGUCAACUAACAACAUAGAAUGUCCAGUGCGAGGCGAUGGUAAGGGGGACUGUGUUGAAACCAAAUUCCAUUGAUUACUCUUGAAAUUGUAUGCGUACAAUGAAUUAUCGCCAACUUCAAAUGUGGAAUCUGUUUCUGAGUCGCAUCCUCCGAAAAGAUAAAUAGUGUCAGCAGAACAAACGAUAGAAUGACCAACUCGAGCAGGAGAAUCAUUG